rnacentral:rRNA from 2 species
GGAUGGAAUCUUGAUUGACUGAGUGGCGGACGGGUGAGUAACGCGUGGAUAACCUGCCUCACACUGGGGGAUAACAGUUAGAAAUGACUGCUAAUACCGCAUAAGCGCACAGUGCCGCAUGGCAGUGUGUGAAAAACUCCGGUGGUGUGAGAUGGAUCCGCGUCUGAUUAGCCAGUUGGCGGGGUAACGGCCCACCAAAGCGACGAUCAGUAGCCGACCUGAGAGGGUGACCGGCCACAUUGGGACUGAGACACGGCCCAAACUCCUACGGGAGGCAGCAGUGGGGAAUAUUGCACAAUGGGCGAAAGCCUGAUGCAGCGACGCCGCGUGAGUGAAGAAGUAUUUCGGUAUGUAAAGCUCUAUCAGCAGGGA